AUACGCAUACACAACUAGCGUAUGGACACCGAUGCCCCUGCCUUCCUGCGUUUAGAAGCCGCCACGGCUCGGUCUUCUUCUACGACAUUCCCCAUCCGUCUCCUCUCAUCUUCCUCUUCUUCUGUUCCCUCUGAACCCUAACCCUAGACUGUAGCCGCCGUCGAAGACCUGCGGAGCUCCGACGCGAGACCUGCGGAGGUGGAACGGUGGUGGGGAGCGGCUGGUGGUGUCGUGUCUGUGGCCGGCGCAUCCACUGGAUGAGAUGCAGGAUCCAUGAAGACGAUGGGCGGGGUCUUCCUGCUGCGCCAUAGUGCUGCGAUGGAGAUGGAGGACUGCAACAGCAGGAAUGGUAUGUUCGCGGUAGAGGUUAAAGUCCACGGAUUCGCUACGAAAGACUCAGAUGGUAGGAAAUCAUAUACUAAAGGCACCAUGAUUAAGUGAGAUGUGGAGUUUGGGUCUGUAACGCUUGAACUGUUGCUGUCAAGUAUUGCAAAUGAAUUGAAUGUGCCUUCUAACCAGUUACCCACAGUGUGGUUCUUUGAUAAAAGACUGCACGAGGAUAUUUGUUGCCUUGAAGCCAUGCAUUGAUGGGUUCUUGGCUGGUUGCAGACCAUUUAUUGGUUUAGAUGCUUCUAGUCUGAAUGGAAAGUACCUUGGCAGUUGGCUUCAGCUACUGGGGUUGAUGGACAUAAUUGGUUGUACCAUAUUGCAUAUGGUGUUUUUGACACAGAGACUGAAGAUAACUGGAAGUGGUUCAUCCAGAAUUUGCACAGAGCAGUGGGGGACCCUCCAGGAUUAGUGAUAUGUUCAGAUGCUUGUAAAGGACUUGAAAAGGCUGUGGGGGCUGUCUUCCCACAGGUUGAAAACAGAGAGUGCAUGAGGCACUUGUACCAAACCUUCAUGAAGCACUACUCAGGUGAUGUGUUCACUGACCGGGCAGGCCUAAAGUGGUAAGGAUAAGAGGUUGCAUGGAGAAAAACAGUUCAAAGAAAAAAGUGAAAUGUCACAGGUGUGGAGGUUUCGGACACUUUGCCAAGACAUGCAAGGAACCUGAGUUGGGACCAAAUGGUGAGACUGCCGCUGCACCAAAUAAAAGGAAGAGGCCACCAGAAGAAGAAGCUGGACCAUCCCAAGUAAAAAAGAAGAAGACAACCACUAAGAAAAAGACACCUAAGAAGAAAAAGACACCAGUGAAGAAGAAAUUGAUGAAAAAUGCAGCAGCUCCACCAGCACGGGUUAUUAGAAGCAUGUUUGAUAUGAUAAAUGAUGGGUAGUAAUCAAGCUUAUUUUUGUGUGUAAUGGAAAAUGGCCUUUAUGGCCGGUGAACUUGAACGAAAAUGUAGCAGCUCCAUCUGCAGCUUAUUUUGUGAAUUAGGAUAUAUUUUGUGACUCUUCUGUAAUGGCCUAAAUGGCAACUUGCUUGUGUGAAUGGCCUAUAUGGCCUUUGAACCAGCACCUCUGUAAUGGCCUAAAUGGCAUUUGAACCUGCGGUUUCUGAACUGUGUCAAUGCAGCUGCAGAUUUGGUCUUA